rfam:Pantoea sp. AS1 23__len__106557, whole genome shotgun sequence.
GCCAGGAGAGCCCGCAGGGAUGCGGGCGAAAGGUGGGGCUGGAACAGGGAUGUUCCAUCCCCACCGGUCCGUCAGGCAGGCGAAUGGCGUGAAGGGACCGCGUCAGCGGCGCGA